rnacentral:misc_RNA from 1 species
UCUCCGUUGGUGAACCAGCGGAGGGAUCAUUACAGAGUUGCAAAACUCCCAAACCCUUGUGAACAUACCCGUUACAGUUGCUUCGGUGGGCGGCCCCAGGGCGGGGCCGCAGCCUCUUCUCACGAGGCGCCCGCCGGAGGUAUAUAACUCUUUGUAUUAUGGUCACUCUGAGUAAAUUUAUAAUAAGUCAAAACUUUUAACAACGGAUCUCUUGGUUCUG